rnacentral:rRNA from 1 species
UACGUAGGGUGCAAGCGUUGUCCGGAAUUAUUGGGCGUAAAGAGCUCGUAGGCGGUGUGUCACGUCGGCCGUGAAAACCUGCAGCUUAACUGUGGGCGUGCGGUCGAUACGGGCAUCACUGGAGUUCGGCAGGGGAGACUGGAAUUCCUGGUGUAGCGGUGAAAUACGCAGAUAUCAGGAGGAACACCGGUGGCGAAGGCGGGUCUCUGGGCCGAUACUGACGCUGAGGAGCGAAAGCGUGGGGAGCAAACAGG